rnacentral:rRNA from 1 species
UACGGGGGGGGGCAAGCGUUGUUCGGAAUUACUGGGCGUAAAGGGCUCUUAGGCGGCCAACUAAGUCAGACGUGAAAUCCCUCGGCUUAACCGGGGAACUGCAUCUGAUACUGGAUGGCUUGAGUUCGGGAGAGGGAUGCGGAAUUCCAGGUGUAGCGGUGAAAUGCGUAGAUAUCUGGAGGAACACCGGUGGCGAAGGCGGCAUCCUGGACCGACACUGACGCUGAGGAGCGAAAGCCAGGGGAGCAAACGGG